rnacentral:piRNA from 1 species
UGAGAUGAUUAUUGUCAGUGGACAGA